CUACGGGUGGCUCCAGUGAGGAAUUUUGCGCAAUGGGGGAAACCCUGACGCAGCAACGCCGCGUGAGUGAUGAAGGCCUUCGGGUCGUAAAGCUCUGUCAAGUGGGAAGAACUUGUUCUAUGUUAAUAUCAUAGCGCAUUGACGGUACCACUGAAGGAAGCACCGGCUAACUCCGUGCCAGCAGCCGCGGUAAUACGGGGGGUGCAAGCGUUAUUCGGAAUUAUUGGGCGUAAAGAGCGCGUAGGCGGUUUUAUAAGUCAGAUGUGAAAGCCCAAGGCUCAACCUUGGAAGUGCAUUUGAUACUAUAAGACUUGAGUAUGGGAGAGGGAAGUGGAAUUCCUGGUGUAGAGGUGAAAUUCGUAGAUAUCAGGAGGAACACCGGUGGCGAAGGCGACUUCCUGGACCAAUACUGACGCUGAGGCGCGAAGGCGUGGGUAGCAAACAGGAUUAGAUACCCCCGUAGUC
rnacentral:rRNA from 1 species